rnacentral:rRNA from 1 species
UGCGUAGGCGGUUUGUUAAGUCAUUUGUAAAAGAUCUCAGCUCAACUGAGUAAGGCGAAUGAAACUGGCAGACUUGGAUACGGUAGAGGUAAGUGGAAUUCCAUGUGUAGCGGUGGAAUGCGUAGAUAUAUGGAGGAACACCAAUGGCGAAGGCAACUUACUGGGCCGGAAUUGACGCUGAGGCACGAAAGCGUGGGGAGCAAACAGGAUUAGAUACCCUGGUAGUCC